GCUAGUGUAGCUUAAUUAAA
rnacentral:tRNA from 3 species